rnacentral:rRNA from 1 species
AUACGGAGGGUGCAAGCGUUACUCGGAAUCACUGGGCGUAAAGCGCGCGCAGGCGGCUUGAUAAGUUGGAUGUGAAAGCCUACGGCUCAACCGUAGAACUGCAUCCAAAACUGUCGAGCUAGAGUCUGGGAGGGGAAGAUGGAAUUAGUUGUGUAGGGGUAAAAUCCGUAGAGAUAACUAGGAAUACCAAAAGCGAAGGCGAUCUUCUGGAACAGUACUGACGCUGAGGCGCGAAAGCGUGGGGAGCAAACAGGAUUAGAAACCCUAGUAGUCC